CCCAGUUCAGGAUAUGGACAUUCAGAAGUGUCUGCACUAUAUGACAGUGAAAAGAUUUUGAGACCCGAGGCAGCAGGAGCCAUGAAGACAGUUACCAUCAACAAAGUAAAUGGUACAAAUAUUUCAUUUCUGAAAGAAAAGGCAUUGUAUUAAGGGACAAAUGGAAGAGGAAAUUGCAGCCCAGAACAUGAACGGGAGAAGGCUGCAGAGGAUAUGGGUCAGCCUUCUCAGGGGAGCUCCGGAAAGGGGCCCAGCUUGGAGGAAGCUGAGCGGGUAACUUCCUGAGGAGUGAGCUAUACAGCAGCUGGACCAACCCCCCCACACACACACCACACACACACACACCUGCACUCACAAGUGCACACACAAAAAUACCAGCUGGGUUAAGCAUGAGUUCAGAUGCUUACCUACUAAGAAUUAUUCCCUAAACUGAGCAGAGACACAGUUUUCAGGUUGGGAAGAGACACACUAUGUAAAACACUCCAAAAUAGGCCCAAAGAGGAAGGAAGACAGCUCCCACAUGGGGUGAGGGGUGUCAAGGCCACCUGCUCCCCACUUGUUCAAUUCAUGAAGGGAAACCAGGACACACACUCUCAGUGAGACACUCCUUCAGCUCCACUGCAGGGAAAUGGCUUCUUGGAUAGAUGGUCUUGAAAAAGAAACACUUCCUGGAACUUCUAAAAAUCAGUUUAGUCCUUCAUUCACAAAAAAGGGCUGAGGAUCGAUUAGUAUUCUCUUCCAUGAGAAUCAGGGGGAACAGAGGCAUAACUAAGCCCUGAGAUAACUAAGAAUUACCAAAAGAAAAGUCUAAUCUGUUUCAUUAUAAGGAGGCCUUGCAUAUAUAAAGAACUGGCUCUUAUGGAAAGAAGGGCAGUCAGGAAACAAGACAUUGUUUUGGAAAUUUUUUUUUCAAAAAAAGAAUAAAGAUAACAAAAAAUAAAAAGUUCUAUACAUAGCUAGAUAAUGGGCUGGUUAUGACUCACAACCAAAUUGGUUUUGUAGUGGUUUAUAGAGAUAGUUAUGCAUAACUCUAUGGUUUACCAAAAUCGUUUAACACUUUAUUUUCUUGAGGCGUUGUUUUUUCCCCCCUAACCUUUCACUGUACACUUUAAAUGGGUAAAUGCUAUAGGAGGAAAAUUAUACCUCAAUAAAGCUAUUAUAAAAAAAUCACCCAGCCAGGGGGCUGAGGUUGUGGCUCAAUGGUAGAGCACUUGCCUAGCAUGUGCAGGGCCCUGGGUUUGAUCCUCAGCACCAAGGUAUUUGUCCAUCU
rnacentral:lncRNA from 1 species